rnacentral:rRNA from 1 species
AUUGAACGCUGGCGGCAUGCUUUACGCAUGCAAGUCGAACGGCAGCGGGGAGGAGCUUGCUUCUCUGCCGGCGAGUGGCGAACGGGUGAGUAAUACAUCGGAACGUGUCGAGAAGAGGGGGAUAACCACCCGAAAGGGUGGCUAAUACCGCAUAAAUUCUGAGGAAGAAAGCUGGGGACCUAGGAAUAGGCCUAGCGCUUUUUGAGCGGCCGAUGUCGGAUUAGCUAGUUGGUGAGGUAAAGGCUCACCAAGGCGAAGAUCUGUAGCGGGUCUGAGAGGAUGAUCCGCCACACUGGGACUGAGACACGGCCCAGACUCCUACGGGAGGCAGCAGUGGGGAAUUUUGGACAAUGGGGGCAACCCUGAUCCAGCCAUGCCGCGUGUAUGAAGAAGGCCUUAGGGUUGUAAAGUACUUUUGUUAGGGAAGAAAAGUCAGCUGUGAAUAAUGGCUGAUACUGACGGUACCUAAAGAAUAAGCACCGGCUAACUACGU